ensembl:rRNA 5S_rRNA 5S ribosomal RNA
GCCUACGACCAUAUCACCCAGAAUGCGCCCGAUCUCGUCUGAUCUCGGAAGCUAAGCAGGGUCGAGCUUGGAUAGUACUUGGAUGGGAGACUGCCUGGGAAUACCAGGUGUUGUAGGCU